AUGUCGCUCUCCGCGGUGCUGCUGCUGCUGCUGCAUCUGACGGUCUGCAACUCGCAGAAUAUUAGUUUAUUCUUUAACAAAUUAGAUUUAGGCUUUGUUGGCGCAAUCAACUUCUAUACAAAAGAGAAGUAUGUAAAUGAUUCCUCCUCGCUGACCGUUCGCAUAAUGGGGAACAAUCAGAGCUGCAUUCCCGAUUUCUCAUUUGGUUGCCAGGAGAACAGCUGUGGGUAUGUGAGUGCUUUGGUACGCACGGUCGACCAAGAAGGCAACAAAGAGUGGUGUCAGAAUGAACUUAGGACUGUUCAGCCAUCUUCCAUUAAUAUGACUGGUUCACUCAGCAUCCCUGGUGUUGAUUGGGUUAGUGGCAUCAAAAAUAACAUUGGAUCAUGGUUCACUGAAGUAGCAUUCGACCUGAGGAACCGCUCUGACACCAACAAAGAAAACUCCUCACCCCAGUCUACCGUGAUCCCAUUUGUGAGAGUUCCUUCAAACUGUCGGAGAGAUUUCAGCCCGUUGAUGUUUGACCCUGAUGGUGAUCAGGUUAAAUGCAGAUACGGAAACUCCUCACUCUUUGAGUGUAGCGCCUGUGAGCCACCAUCUGUCCUCAGCCUCUCAUCAUCCAAUUGUACGCUGUCGUUCGGCCCCACUGCCGACAGUAAUCAGGGCCGUUAUGGAGUACAGCUGCUGAUGGAGGACUUUCCCAGGAAGAACAUCACCAUGACUUCAGCUGAUGGCAAUAAAACAAUAAAAACACCUAACGAUGCUCUCAGCAAAGUACCGAUCCAGUUUGUUCUGAUAGUGGAUCCCCAGGUCUCAUCCUGCACAGAGGGAGACUUUUUGCCCAAAUUCUUGCCUCCAACCCCAGCCAACAGAGCUCGGCUCUACACCCCUGUUAAUAACACUCUGGAAAUCAGCAUCAGUGCUGAGGCAAAAAACUCCACGAUCUCUGAGCUGCUGUUCAGCGGACCGUAUGAUGCAAUUCAGAAUAAAACUGGAACAGGAACGUUCACCCUGAAAUGGACGCCGUCUAAAUCACAAGACACUGACACCCUCCCCUUCUGCUUUGUUGUCCAGGCACUUUCCAAGGAAACCAAGUAUCACUCAGACCUUCGAUGUGUCAGCGUGACUGUUGGAAAUGGUGCUCCAGCCAGUGCUUCAGGUUUUGUCCUGGUCAUGGGAUCUUUCCUUUCAACUCUUAUUCUUGCCUUCCCUUCCAUAUGAAUAUGGAUAAAAUCAGAG
rnacentral:lncRNA from 1 species